GAUGAACGCUGACAGAAUGCUUAACACAUGCAAGUCUACUUGAAGCUAACUUCGGUUAGUGGAUGGUGGCGGACGGGUGAGUAACGCGUAAAGAACUUGCCUCACAGAUUGGGACAACAUUUGGAAACGAAUGCUAAUACCGGAUAUUAUGAUACUUCCGCAUGGAAGAAUCAUGAAAGCUAUAUGCGCUGUGAGAGAGCUUUGCGUCCCAUUAGCUAGUUGGAGAGGUAACGGCUCACCAAGGCGAUGAUGGGUAGCCGGCCUGAGAGGGUGAACGGCCACAAGGGGACUGAGACACGGCCCUUACUCCUACGGGAGGCAGCAGUGGGGAAUAUUGGACAAUGGACCAAAAGUCUGAUCCAGCAAUUCUGUGUGCACGAUGAAGUUUUUCGGAAUGUAAAGUGCUUUCAGUUGGGAAGAAGCAAGUGACGGUACCAACAGAAGAAGCGACGGCUAAAUACGUGCCAGCAGCCGCGGUAAUACGUAUAUCGCAAGCGUUAUCCGGAUUUAUUGGGCGUAAAGCGCGUCUAGGUGGUUAUAUAAGUCUGAUGUGAAAAUGCGGGGCUCAACUCCGUAUUGCGUUGGAAACUGUAUGACUAGAGUACUGGAGAGGUAAGCGGAACUACAAGUGUAGAGGUGAAAUUCGUAGAUAUUUGUAGGAAUGCCGAUGGGGAAGCCAGCUUACUGGACAGAUACUGACGCUAAAGCGCGAAAGCGUGGGUAGCAAACAGG
rnacentral:rRNA from 1 species